rnacentral:rRNA from 1 species
AAAAUCCGGGCGCGGAAUUCAAGGGUGUGAGGCGAGCGGCUUAGGCCGCGAAGCAAUCGGAAGUGGUUCCAAGAAAAGCCUCUAAGCUUCAGUCUAACAAGACCGUACCGCAAACCGACACAGGUGGGCGAGAUGAGUAUUCUAAGGCGCUUGAGAGAACUCGGGAGAAGGAACUCGGCAAAUUGGUACCGUAACUUCGGGAUAAGGUACGCCCUUGUAGCUUGACUGGCCUGCGCCAGGAGGGUGAGAGGGUUGCAAUAAACUGGUGGCUGCGACUGUUUAAUAAAAACACAGCACUCUGCAAACACGAAAGUGGACGUAUAGGGUGUGACGCCUGCCCGGUGCCGGAAGAUUAAAUGAUGGGGUGCAAGCUCUUGAUUGAAGUCCCGGUAAACGGCGGCCGUAACUAUAACGGUCCUAAGGUAGCGAAAUUCCUUGUCGGGUAAGUUCCGACCUGCACGAAUGGCGUAACGAUGGCCACACUGUCUCCUCCCGAGACUCAGCGAAGUUGAAGUGUUUGUGAUGAUGCAAUCUCCCCGCGGCUAGACGGAAAGACCCCAUGAACCUUUACUGUAGCUUUGCAUUGGACUUUGAACCGAUCUGUGUAGGAUAGGUGGGAGGCUAUGAAACCGGAACGCUAGUUUCGGUGGAGCCGUCCUUGAAAUACCACCCUGGUUUGUUUGAGGUUCUAACCUUGGUCCGUUAUCCGGACUGGGGACAGUGCAUGGUAGGCAGUUUGACUGGGGCGGUCUCCUCCCAAAGUGUAACGGAGGAGUACGAAGGUACGCUAGGUACGGUCGGAAAUCGUGCUGAUAGUGCAAUGGCAUAAGCGUGCUUAACUGCGAGACCGACAAGUCGAGCAGGUGCGAAAGCAGGUCAUAGUGAUCCGGUGGUUCUGUAUGGAAGGGCCAUCGCUCAACGGAUAAAAGGUACUCUGGGGAUAACAGGCUGAUACCGCCCAAGAGUUCAUAUCGACGGCGGUGUUUGGCACCUCGAUGUCGGCUCAUCUCAUCCUGGGGCUGUAGCCGGUCCCAAGGGUAUGGCUGUUCGCCAUUUAAAGAGGUACGUGAGCUGGGUUUAAAACGUCGUGAGACAGUUUGGUCCCUAUCUGCCGUGGGCGUUGGAUAUUUGAAGGGGGCUGCUCCUAGUACGAGAGGACCGGAGUGGACGAACCUCUGGUGUACCGGUUGUCACGCCAGUGGCAUCGCCGGGUAGCUAUGUUCGGAAGAGAUAACCGCUGAAAGCAUCUAAGCGGGAAACUCGCCUUAAGAUGAGAUAUCCCCGGGGACUUGAUCCCCUUGAAGGGUCGUUCUAGGCCAGGACGUUGAUAGGUCAGGUGUGGAAGUGAGA